rnacentral:rRNA from 1 species
GUGCCAGCAGCCGCGGUAAAACGUAGGAGCCAAGCGUUAUCCGAAUUCACUGGGCGUAAAGCGUGUGCAGGCGGCAUUAUAAGUUGGAUGUGAAAUCUCCUGGCUCAACUGGGAGAGGCCGUUCAAUACUGUAAAGCUCGAGGGCAACAGAGGGAGGUGGAAUUCCCGGUGUAGUGGUGAAAUGCGUAGAUAUCGGGAGGAACACCAGUGGCGAAAGCGGCCUCCUGGGUUGCAUCUGACGCUCAGACACGAAAGCUAGGGGAGCGAACGGGAUUAGAAACCCGCGUAGUCC